rnacentral:rRNA from 1 species
CGGCAAGAGCCCAAAUUUGAAAUCGGCCAACCGAGUUGUAAUUUGGAGACGGGACACUAGAGAGGAGGAAGGCGAUUAAGUGCCUUGGAACAGGCUGCCGUACAGGGUGAGAGCCCCGUGAAUCGCUGGAGACCGAUCAAUUAGUGCCCGCCGAAUAGUCAAGUUGUUUGGGAAUGCAGCUCUAAUUGGGUGGUAUAUUCCAUCUAAGGCUAAAUAUUAGCGAGAGACCGAUAUCAAACUUUUACAGUGAUGGAAAGAUGAAAAGAACUUUGGAAAGAGAGUGAAAUACUACGUGAAAUUGUUGAAAGGGAAGGGUAUUUGAUCCGACAUGGUGUUUACCAUCGGCCCGUUCCUCGUGGAUGGGUGCACCUGGUUUACACUGGGCCAGCAUCGGUUCUGGGAGCCAUAUACGGGGUUCGUGAAUGUGGCCCUUCCAUUCUGUCGGAGGCUGUUAUAUCGCGGACAUCUUGUGGCUAGCCA